UUAUUUUUUUAGGUCUGAGGGUCAGACACAUCCAGACAUGAAUGCAAGAGACAGGAAUUAAUGAAUGUUUAUCCUUUCAGGUUUUCAUACUCUUGUGAAGUAAAUAACUUCUCUUAUACCUGGACUUGUAUACCUAGAAAAAAUAAAAUGACUUUUUUGGGGAGAUUCAUCAAAUCAUUUAUCCUAAACCAAGUAGAGUUCAAUUGAUUCAAAUUUGGCUUCCUGGACCCCAAGGAUCAAUAGGACUAAGACUAAACCUCACUUCACUCUGGACAAAGUCGGGAAAAAUGUCAUAAAGAACCAAUUGUGGCAAGUUGCUUUUUGACAAAAGCUGUUUUCCAAAACAUGUAUCAGAGAAUCAGUGACAGUGGGAAGGACAAGAAGGGCCCUCUGGUCCAAACUCCCUGUCUACAGCAGAUAAAAGCUAAAUCAUCUGACAGAGCGGGAGGUGGGCCAACGUUCACGUUUUCAAGUGAAGGAAAGUUCACAUGCUCCCUUAAAAACUCUGUGCUGGCUCUAAAGUCAAGAAGUUUGUUAUGAGAAGCUCAAUUCUUAGUUGCCCCAGUUUUACCCACUUAGCCUCAUGCUAUUCUCUGUCAUCAUGAAGUGCCUUCUGUAAAUAUACCUCGACCACUUGGAAAAAUUUUUGAAACCCAUCCUUAGCUCUCUCUAUUUGUCAAAUAACUUCAAAUUCCUUAAUAUUUAUUGGUACAGACAAAGGUCAAUGUCCUAAUUUUUUGUAUUAGUUUAGCUUUGUUUUCCCCUGGAAUCUUCUUGGCAUGUCCAUAUUUCUCUUCCCAUUACAAUUCAUCACUGUAACCCAAACAUCUGAUACCAUGUCUAGCUCACAGUAGGCAUCCAGUAAUCAUUUCUGAGAGAAAGAAUAAAUGUAAGGGACUACACAGUAGACACUUAAGUACACGUUAAACAACAAACCAAUUUAAAAAAAAAGUAUUUUCGUAUUCCCAAUAGUCAUUUCCCAAGCUUCGGUUUUCUUGAUUUAAAUCGUAUCUAAAAUACAAUGAAUUCACUGUCUUUGUUGGUUUCAAAGUUACACUAAUAAUAUGCAAAACAUGGCAUCUGUCUGGCAGCAGUAUUAUAACCCAGAGAAACCACAUUUUAUACCCAACAAACCAAUGUUUUUAGAAAGCAUAUAAAUUAGCAAUGGUCAUUGUUUGACCCAUAGGAAAGCAAAGCGAACAGAUGCAAAACAGUGCAUUCGUUGGUAGGGAUGGUAUCUAUGGUAUCCCAUUCUCACAUAAAUCAAAGUUCUAAAAUUCUGAAUAUUUGCAGCAGGACUCCAAAGGCAUGACUGAAAUAGUUCUGGCUGCUCAGCUCCGGACACAUACUGAUCCCAAAAUCUUACUAAAGAAAUCUUGGAAGGACAAAGCCAUAACCCACCAUGUUUCAAAUUCAUACCUAGAAAAUGAAAUGAUAAGAGAAAGCAGGAAAUAGAGAAGCAUCCAGGACACCAUAGAAAUGAAGACUUGCCCCUGAUGGUUAUUUCCCCCAAAUAAAAGGAGACAACUCCUACACUUGUGAUGUCUUGCAAAGGAAAGCUUCCGUCUGAGCCCACGGAGAGCUUUCUAACUAAGCACCAAAACUGAGCAACUCUCAAGAGUUUCUCCAGAAAAAAAAUCUACUAGUGCUCUCCCAAGGGACAGAUGUCUUCAGGCUAGCAUUUGGGGAAACAAAAAGAUAUAAAGGUCACCUACAGUGUAUCACCUAUGGGUGCAACUCAGAAAUGAAAGACACUGAAUUCCCUUCCUAUCUGAAUCUGAGACAGUGAAUAAUUCUGGAAAGGAAAACACCACAAGGGUAAUCUUGAGUUAGUUGACUACAUGACUGCACACAUCAACAUGGCAUUUUGCCUGAUUCUACAGUUAGGAGCAUUUGUUUUUAUGUUCAUGUCUCUCAUAUAGGAUUUUACUUGGAUAUACUUUUAUGUGAUAGCUUUCAAAUUUCCAUUUGCAUACUUUUUUGGAAACAGUGAAAGAAAGGGUAGUUUAUUUCCAAUUCUAGCCAAGCACUGACGCUUGGAAGAAAAGAGAGAAG
rnacentral:lncRNA from 10 species